AGUUUAACCAACUUGGAGAAUACAUGUGAUAUUUGAGAAGAAGUAUGCUUAGUUCCAAUGAGGCAUUGUAGUUGUGAAAUGCAACUUAAAUCAAGCACAAGUAGAUCAUUCAUACCAUGGUCCAAAGGAACAAUCUCAGCAGCAAAUGUUGAAGCUGUAAGAACCAUCUUUCUACAAUCUGCAGUAGGUAGUAUUUGAAGUUCUUCAUCAAAAGAAUCUUCCAUUGCCUUGUAGUGACGAACUUAUGUUCCAUAAAAAAAGAAGAAUGUAUGGAAUAAAGUAAAGUAUCAGUACUUGAAGCAAACUCCUUAGUAUCAAGUAAAGGUUCAAUUAUUGACAAACUUUACAGCUAGCUAGAAAUCCAUUGUUUGGGGUUUACAAUUCAUGUAACCGGUAAACUAGAAGAUUCUACAAAAUUCAAAAUAGCACUAAUCGGAUACAACUAUGUAAAUUCAUGAAAAAUGGAAGAGUAAAGAAAAAUCUAAAUAUAAUGGUGAACACGCAACACUUAAAUCAGAUGCGAAUUUGCAAAUCCCUUGGAUUAACAAAAAUCUAUCUCAAGUGUCAACA